CCUACGGGAGGCAGCAGUGAGGAAUAUUGGUCAAUGGGCGUAAGCCUGAACCAGCCAAGUCGCGUGAGGGAUGAAGGUUCUAUGGAUCGUAAACCUCUUUUAUAAGGGAAUAAAGUGCGGGACGUGUCCCGUUUUGUAUGUACCUUAUGAAUCAGGAUCGGCUAACUCCGUGCCAGCAGCCGCGGUAAUACGGAGGGUCCGAGCGUUAUCCGGAUUUAUUGGGUUUAAAGGGUGCGUAGGCGGCCUUGUAAGCCAGAGGUGAAAGUUUGUGGCUCAACCAUAGAAUUGCCGUUGAAACUGGGAGGCUUGAGUAUGUUUGAGGCAGGCGGAAUGCGUGGUGUAGCGGUGAAAUGCGUAGAUAUCACGCAGAACCCCGAUGGCGAAGGCAGCCUGC
rnacentral:rRNA from 1 species